ACUCGUAUCGUAACAGGUAGCCGUAGAGUUUGGUUGUGGAGUGGCGGACGGGUGAGUAAUGUCUGGGAAACUGCCUGAUGGAGGGGGAUAACUACUGGAAACGGUAGCUAAUACCGCAUAACGUCGCAAGACCAAAGAGGGGGACCUUCGGGCCUCUUGCCAUCAGAUGUGCCCAGAUGGGAUUAGCUAGUAGGUGGGGUAAUGGCUCACCUAGGCGACGAUCCCUAGCUGGUCUGAGAGGAUGACCAGCCACACUGGAACUGAGACACGGUCCAGACUCCUACGGGAGGCAGCAGUGGGGAAUAUUGCACAAUGGGCGCAAGCCUGAUGCAGCCAUGCCGCGUGUGUGAAGAAGGCCUUCGGGUUGUAAAGCACUUUCAGCGAGGAGGAAGGUGGUGAACUUAAUACGUUCAUCAAUUGACGUUACUCGCAGAAGAAGCACCGGCUAACUCCGUGCCAGCAGCCGCGGUAAUACGGAGGGUGCAAGCGUUAAUCGGAAUUACUGGGCGUAAAGCGCACGCAGGCGGUUUGUUAAGUCAGAUGUGAAAUCCCCGGGCUCAACCUGGGAACUGCAUUUGAAACUGGCAAGCUAGAGUCUCGUAGAGGGGGGUAGAAUUCCAGGUGUAGCGGUGAAAUGCGUAGAGAUCUGGAGGAAUACCGGUGGCGAAGGCGGCCCCCUGGACGAASACUGACGCUCAGGUGCGAAAGCGUGGGGAGCAAACRGGAUUAGAUACCCUGGUAGUCCACGCUGUAAACGAUGUCGAUUUGGAGGUUGUGCCCUUGAGGCGUGGCUUCCGGAGCUAACGCGUUAAAUCGACCGCCUGGGGAGUACGGCCGCAAGGUUAAAACUCAAAUGAAUUGACGGGGGCCCGCACAAGCGGUGGAGCAUGUGGUUUAAUUCGAUGCAACGCGAAGAACCUUACCUACUCUUGACAUCCAGAGAACUUUCCAGAGAUGGAUUGGUGCCUUCGGGAACUCUGAGACAGGUGCUGCAUGGCUGUCGUCAGCUCGUGUUGUGAAAUGUUGGGUUAAGUCCCGCAACGAGCGCAACCCUUAUCCUUUGUUGCCAGCGGUUCGGCCGGGAACUCAAAGGAGACUGCCAGUGAUAAACUGGAGGAAGGUGGGGAUGACGUCAAGUCAUCAUGGCCCUUACGAGUAGGGCUACACACGUGCUACAAUGGCAUAUACAAAGAGAAGCGACCUCGCGAGAGCAAGCGGACCUCAUAAAGUAUGUCGUAGUCCGGAUUGGAGUCUGCAACUCGACUCCAUGAAGUCGGAAUCGCUAGUAAUCGUAGAUCAGAAUGCUACGGUGAAUACGUUCCCGGGCCUUUACACACCGCCCGUCACCCCAUGUGAUACCGGUUACCCUUAGAGUUGGACCCUGGCCCAGUAUCGUACCAGUAGCCUA
rnacentral:rRNA from 1 species